CGUAGGUGGCAAGCGUUGUCCGGAUUUAUUGGGUUUAAAGGGUGCGUAGGCGGUUCUUUAAGUCAGUUGUGAAAUACGGCAGCUCAACUGUCGAGGUGCAAUUGAUACUGGAGAACUUGAGUACUGAUGAGGUAAGCGGAAUGGACGGUGUAGCGGUGAAAUGCUUAGAUAUCGUCCAGAACACCGAUAGCGAAGGCAGCUUACUAAGGAGUAACUGACGCUGAGGCACGAAAGUGUGGGGAUCAAACAGGAUUAGAUACCCUGGUAGUCCACACUGUAAACGAUGAUCACUCGAUGUUGGCGAUACACGGCCAGCGUCUUAGCAAAAGCGAUAAGUGAUCCACCUGGGGAGUACGCCGGCAACGGUG
rnacentral:rRNA from 1 species